rfam:Populus trichocarpa scaffold_8_contig_16, whole genome shotgun sequence.
CCGACCUUAGCUCAGUUGGUAGAGCGGAGGACUGUAGUGGUAGCUGUUAUCCUUAGGUCGCUGGUUCGAAUCCGGCAGGUCGGA